UAACAAAUUUUGAAAGAUUUACCCAAAUUCAAACAUAGAGCUUACAUCCUUAUGUAUACCAAAUAGAAGACUAAACCCAGUUAGUGACCAAAGUAUAUUAGUGGGUUCCUAAUCAAUAAACUUAGGAUUUAAAGAGGUAAUAUAAAAAUACUCUUGAGCUACUUCACCUAAGUGUGAUAAAGAUUAUAUUCAAAGAUUUAAUUUUAACUAUUUGCAAAUGAAUCAUUCUGCAC
rnacentral:lncRNA from 1 species